GACAUCGGACGGGAAUUGAACCCGCGUCUUUCUGUUNAACAGAAAGACGCGGGUUCAAUUCCCGUCCGAUGUCA
rfam:Nippostrongylus brasiliensis genome assembly, scaffold: NBR_scaffold0004203